rnacentral:rRNA from 1 species
UACGUAGGGUGCAAGCGUUAAUCGGAAUUACUGGGCGUAAAGCGUGCGCAGGCGGUUGUGCAAGACAGAUGUGAAAUCCCCGGGCUCAACCUGGGAAUUGCAUUUGUGACUGCACGGCUAGAGUGUGUCAGAGGGGGGUAGAAUUCCACGUGUAGCAGUGAAAUGCGUAGAUAUGCGGAGGAACACCGAUGGCGAAGGCAAUCCCCUGGGCCUGCACUGACGCUCAUGCACGAAAGCGUGGGAGCAACAGG